UUGGAGCAAUAAAUUCUCAUAUAGAGAGAUUGAGAAGUUAUGAAUUCUGUUUUUUUUUUAUUAGAGAUAGUAGCAUACUAUCCGCUUCGUUUACUUCUUUUAAAAAUAAAUUUAGCUGUAAAUAUUAAUUAAUUAGAAUUUAAACUUGGAAUCUCGGAUAUCAAUCAUUAAGUCUUUUGUCACUUGCGCUAAAAACGGUCGGUGAGAAGUUAGGAAUU
rnacentral:lncRNA from 1 species